rnacentral:rRNA from 1 species
GACGAACGCUGGCGGCGUGCUUAACACAUGCAAGUCGAACGGUAAGGCCUUUCGGGGUACCCGAGUGGCGAACGGGUGAGUAACACGUGGGUGAUCUGCCCUGCACUUCGGGAUAAGCCCGGGAAACUGGGUCUAAUACCGGAUAGGACUGCGCGGUGCAUGCCGUGUGGUGGAAAGAUUUAUCGGUGCAGGAUGGGCCCGCGGCCUAUCAGCUUGUUGGUGGGGUAAUGGCCUACCAAGGCGACGACGGGUAGCCGGCCUGAGAGGGCGACCGGCCACACUGGGACUGAGACACGGCCCAGACUCCUACGGGAGGCAGCAGUGGGGAAUAUUGCGCAAUGGGCGCAAGCCUGAUGCAGCGACGCCGCGUGAGGGAUGACGGCCUUCGGGUUGUAAACCUCUUUCAGCAGGGACGAAGCGUGAGUGACGGUACCUGCAGAAGAAGCACCGGCCAACUACGUG